rnacentral:rRNA from 1 species
CCUACGGGAGGCAGCAGUGAGGAAUAUUGGUCAAUGGACGCAAGUCUGAACCAGCCAAGUAGCGUGCAGGAUGACGGCCCUCCGGGUUGUAAACUGCUUUUAGUUGGGAAUAAAAGGGGGCUCGUGAGCCCCGUAUUGUAUGUACCAUCAGAAAAAGGACCGGCUAAUUCCGUGCCAGCAGCCGCGGUAAUACGGAAGGUCCGGGCGUUAUCCGGAUUUAUUGGGUUUAAAGGGAGCGUAGGCCGGCUUUUAAGUCAGCUGUGAAAGUCCGCGGCUCAACCGUGGAAUUGCAGUUGAAACUGGAGGCCUUGAGUGCACACAGGGAUGCCGGAAUUCAUGGUGUAGCGGUGAAAUGCUUAGAUAUCAUGAAGAACCCCGAUCGCGAAGGCGUCUUACUGGACCGAAACUGACGUUGAGGCUCGAAAGCGUGGGGAGCAAACAGGAUUAGAUACCCCAGUAGUC